rnacentral:rRNA from 1 species
AGUUGGCCGGUGCUUCUUCUGUACCUACCGUCACUUGCGCUUCGUCGGUACUGAAAGAGGUUUACAACCCGAAGGCCGUCAUCCCUCACGCGGCGUUGCUGGAUCAGGCUUCCGCCCAUUGUCCAAUAUUCCCCACUGCUGCCUCCCGUAGGAAGCCGAAUUCUGCAGAUAUCCAUCACACUGGCGGCCGCUCGAGCAUGCAUCUAGAGGGCCCAAUUCGCCCUAUAGUGAGUCGUAUUACAAUUCACUGGCCGUCGUUUUACAACGUCA